GUCUCAAAGAUUAAGCCAUGCUAGUCUAAGUACACAUGGCCGGUACAUUGAAACUGUAAAUUGUUCACCAGUUAUGGUUCCUUUGCUCACGCCAACGUUCCUUGGCUAACUAUCAAUUCUAGAGCUUGGCCUAAUAUUUAAGGAAUAUUUUAUCUCAUGGAACAUGGGACCAAAACUUUACAUGUUGCGUUUAUAUUAAUCAAACCCAUAACCCAUGCGGGGUUCUCUCGGGCACCCCAGUCACUUUUUGUGACUAAAUAACCUCAAGCUGAUUGUGUGUCCUUCAAGGCGGUGAUGUCUCAUUCGAAUGUCUGCCCUAUCAACAUUACAUCUGACUUCCUGUGCCUACCAUGGUGACCACAGGUACCGGGUAAUCGGGAUUCGAUUCUAGAAAGGGAGGCUGAGAAGGCUACCAUACCCAAGGAUUAAGGCGGAAGGUGCAUACAUUACACCACUCCCGACUCGGAAGUACUGUGUAAGAA
rnacentral:ncRNA from 1 species